rnacentral:misc_RNA from 1 species
UACGUAGGUGUCGAGCGUUAUCCGGAAUUACUGGGCGGAAAGGGCACGCAGGCGGUUGGGUGGGUCCCGUGUGAAAGCUCCCGGCUUAACCGGGAGAGGUCGUGGGAAACUGGCCAACUUGAGAGAGUGAGAGGGAAGCGGAAUUCCCGGUGUAGUGGUGGAAUGCGUAGAUAUCGGGAAGAACACCAGUGGCGAAAGCGGCUUCCUGGCACCCUUCUGACGCUGAGGUGCGAAAGCGGGGGGAGCGAACAGG